GCCCUCGUGGCUCAAUGGACAGAGUGCUAGUCUUCGGAACUAGAGAUCAAGGUUCGAUUCCUUGCGGGGGCA
rnacentral:tRNA from 1 species